rnacentral:rRNA from 1 species
UACGGAGGGUGCAAGCGUUAUCCGGAUUCACUGGGUUUAAAGGGUGCGUAGGUGGAUUAGUAAGUCAGUGGUGAAAUCUCUGGGCUUAACUCAGAAACUGCCAUUGAUACUAUUAGUCUUGAAUACCGUGGAGGUCAGCGGAAUAUGUCAUGUAGCGGUGAAAUGCUUAGAUAUCGUCCAGAACACCGAUAGCGAAGGCAGCUUACUAAGGAGUAACUGACGCUGAGGCACGAAAGUGUGGGGAUCAAACAGG